GCGCUAUCAUCAAUAUGUAUGGUCUGUGAAGAUGAUGAUGAUAAAGCCGUCUCGCAAAGCAUUGUCAUUAAUGGACUCAGAAGUCUUUGAGAGCAACUGAGAGCUUUGCAGACUGUGUGUCCUAGCCCGUUGGCACAGCCCUGGUCUUUCCCUUCCUUCAUCUGAGUGACCGACGUUCUCAGUGUAAAGGCAGCCAGCUCCCCACCCUCGGCCCCCCACCCCUGGAUGAGGGAACCUUCCAUGCAGGUAGUCUGGGGUGAUGGAAUGCCACAGAAGAGAGAUGCCCAGCAAGGCCGGAGCAGAGGCCCACGGCACGGCCAGACACUGGGGUAGGCGUUGAAUGAGCCCCAGCUGACCAGGCAAACCCACGAAAACACCAACACGGAGAGUGCUUUCUGCAGUAGUGACUGGCAAGAGAUUUUAGUCCACUUAAUCCUCACGACAGAUCGUAUGAGGUCGGUGCUGUCACUGUAUCCAUCUUACAGCUCAGGAAACUGAGGCAGACGCAGGCAGAAACCAGGAGGGCUGAGACUGGAACCCUGGCGGUAUUUCUCCAGAAUCUCCCAUUUAACCACUGAGCUACACACCCAGCCAGCGUAAAGCCAGCUAAUGAUAGACAGGGUCCUACCUGGCUCACGAAGGCAGUUGGCAUUUACAAGGGCACAGGUGGCCUAGCGGAGGCAAGAAUGGGCUUUGGAAUUAGGCCUGGAUUCCACUCCCCGCACUGACACCAAUGAACCCUGAGGCUGACCCUCCCCGGAGCCUGCAUUUCCUUCACUGGGAAGUGGAAGGAACACCUGCCUUAGCGGUGGGUGUGAGAAAUGUUGGGUGAGAAGGUUCUGGCGUAUGGCAGAUUUUCAUUAAACGAUUACUUUUAUUACUUUGACAGAUGAGCUGGGGAGGUGGCCUGCUCAAAACUGAGACUUGAGAAGAAUCUCUCUUAAAAGAGAGGCCCAAUCUUCCUUGGCUAUGGGGGCGCAGAGGAGGGGUGACAGCUAGCUGAAGGGAUCUGGUGGCUUCAGAGGACACGGCACGAGCAAGUGGUUGGGACUCUGGCUUCAGAGCUCAGCAGACUCGGGUUCAAGUUCCGGUAUCCAGCGCGUGCUCACUGGGUCUCCUUGGGGAGUCGCUUAACUUCUUGGAGUCUGUGAAGUGAGGACGCUGAGAGUACCUUCCUCGUAGGGGUGAGAAGAAUGGGUGGAAUCAUUCAGGGAAAGGAGUGCUGGGCACACCGGCUGGCA
rnacentral:lncRNA from 1 species